GUAACAGAAUCUACGAGAUUUGGAUAUUUGGAUAUUUUCCUUCUGAAAUUAGGGGAAAUUGUUUUUGAAUCUCCGAAAACCUCGAAUUCCCCUCUUCUAGGUAUUCGUGACUCGGUUGGCACAAAUAAAAUCGUAAAAACGGGACGCCGCCGCCUCGAAUCGAAUCCCCCACCAUCCAAUUUCGUUUUCGUUUUCGUUUCUUCCGCCGCAAGCCUCGCCGCCCGCCCUCGCACCGGCGGCCGCCGCCGCCGCGGCGCGCGAUGGAGUCGACGUGCUGGUCGUGCGGCGAGGGCGCGGUGGUGGCGGACCCGGACACCGGUGUGCUCGUCUGCACCUCCUGCGGCCGCAUCCACGACUCCGGCUCGUCGGAGUUCGUCCACCAGUCGAUCUGCACCGACAACGGCGUGUACGACCUCCGCGCCUCCUCCUUCGUCUACCACCAGUCGCAGUCGCAGUACCGGGACCAGAAGCUCUCGAACGGCGUCGUCACCAUCGCCUCCAUCGCCGCCCGCCUCGGCCUCUCCCCCACCGCCGCCGACGAGGCGCUCGCCAUGGCCAAGUCCGCCACGGGCGGCAACCUCGCCACCCAGGGCUCCGCCUUCCUCCCGGCCCUCGCCUCCGCCUGCGCCUUCCUCGUCGCGAGGUCCCACCGCCUCCCGCUCUCCCUGGCCGAGGCCGCCGAGACCGCCUUCUGCUCGGUGGCCUCGCUCGCCGACCUCGUCUCCCGCAUCGCCUCCCACCUCUCGCUCCCCCCGCUCCCGUCCUUCGACUACGCCGCCGCGCUCGAGCGCGCCGUGCGCUCCUCGCCCUCGCUGUCCUCCGCCGCGAGCGAGAGGACGGAGGUGAUCCUCUCCCAAUCCCGGUUCCUCCUCCGCUGCGCCUCCAAGUGGUCGCUCACCACGGGGCGGUUCCCUCUCCCCCUCAUCGCCGCCCUCGUCGCGUUCGCCGCGGAGGCGAACGGGGUCACCUCCAUCACCGUGGAGGACAUUGCGCGGGACAUCUCUGCGAGGCUGCACACCAGCCUCCGCCGGUACAAGGAGCUCGUCGAUGCGCUGGUGCGCGUCGCGCGGGAGCUGCUGCCGUGGGGCGCCGAUGUCAAUGCGAAGAACUUGCUCCUGAACGCACCCGUGCUGCUCCGGCUCAUGGAGAUGAGGUCACAGUCCGACCCAUCAGAGCAGUUUCUCGAGAGCUUCGCUCCGGACAUUGCCGGGAUUGUGCAGGCGUGCUCAGCCGUUGAUGAUGAUGAAUCCAAGUACCUUCAGGUUGCUCCCCAAUUGGCUUCUGAUGAUUUGGAUUCCAAUAAUUCCGGGCAGGAGGGGAAGGAAUUGGAGAAUUUUAAGAUCUCGGAGGAGUGCCUAUCAAGUGCUUACCAAAAUGUCUUGAAGAGGCUUGCUCAACUACAAAGACUUGGGCAAGUUGGUAAAGGUGCUAACAGGAAGAGGCAGCGGAUAGGAGGGCUGGAGCUGGAGCCAUGUAUAGAUUCGCUGGAUGAUGGUUGGACCAAGGACAUGGUGUUGGAGGAUGUAGUGAAUAUUGACGUCGGCUUUGAUGUUCCUCCGCCAUCGUUUGCUGCUGGAAUGAAGUUGCAGAAGAAAAGGAGAGCACGGAUUGAAGCUGCUAAGUGCCGAAUUGAUGCGAUUAGAAAAGGUCCUGUUGAGAGCGAGAAUAAAUUGCAGGCUGCUCUGAGAAAUGAAGAUGCCUGCUCACCGCAAAAACCGGCCAGGAAGAAGCGAGGCAAAAAGAGGAUAGCUGGAAGUGAUCGUGCCAUGAAUGGAGAGCUUCCAAUAGAGAUGCCGGAUGGUCCAGGUGGUGAGAAGAAGAGACGGAAAGGAGCUCCCUCUGAUGGUAUUGACUGGGAGGACUGUAUCAUUGAGCUCCUGUUAUUACACGGCGCAAAUGAGGAAGAGAUCGAACAAGGACAAUACAGAAGAUUGUUAGAUCUACAUGUCUUCUGUGCAGUGAGUGCCAGUGGACACAAAUGAAAACAUGGUGAUUUUCUCAUAGAUGGAGUCAGAAAAUGAAAAAUGUGCAUUGGCGUAUCGUGCUUUCCUGAUGAAGUGUGUUUCUGAUUAUUUCGAAGUGGUUCAGAUCUUCAGGAUGCAAUCUUUCUUUUUUAAGGGAAUGAGCAUAAUAUCUUUAUCUUUUCACUUGGUAGACGGAAUCCCCAAAUGUAUGAGAUGUUUCAAGGAGGAAGAACCUAAGAAGGUAAGAGACAUUUCUUUUAAAAAAAGAAGGUAAGGGACUCCUUCGUCAAAGAACAUUUGGAAAGUGUCCAGGUAAUCUCUAUGCUUGAAGAGGCUACACCUUCCUUCAGGGAAGAUUAAUAGAUCUGUGAGCAUUGGUGUUGCAAUUAUUUCCACAGGCUCUUCAGGAGAUAUGUUCCAUUUGCACCUUCAGAUUUAAGCUCCAUCUGCUACUGCUACUUGCAGUGAGCCUCUUCAUAUUAUCCUAGGCACGGGGCCUCUUCAGGAGAUGCUGCUUUUGAGCUGUAUGACCUCACCUCCUACAUCUGAUUGCCUGAGGUGGUCUCUCACUCUCUUCAGAUGGUCCUAUGUUUUUUUUUUGACGGAAUGGUCCUAUGUUCGGGAUCUCAGCAAUCAGACUUUUCUUCUGCUCAUUCAUUGUGAUGAUGGAACAAACUGGCUAUUGGAUAUUCAGAAGUCGCCUGUGGCAUUGUGUAUUUUCAGCAGUUUGAGGUCAAUAAUAAGUUAACAUUUCUGAAAGCCAUCAUUUUCAAAUUUCCAAUGCAUUUCGUAGGCAUAUAUGUUUUUUAUCUCCUUCUGUUUCGUCUUCCCUUCCCUUGAUUAUACUGAAAUUUUCAGAAUCGCCCAAUCAAAAGUUUGAUUUCUUGGUCUUUAUUGAUUUCUUUCAGCUUCCUAACAUGAUCACCUGGUGGUGAAAACUUGCAUUUGUACAGACUGAAUCAUAAGUCAAACUAAUUUCCUUUUUAUUAGCCCUAUCCAUCUUGUUAAUCAUUUCAAUAGAGAAUCCUCAAUGUAUCCAUUGUACGUAUUACACUCUUCAGUCUGUACAAAAAUUCAUCGAAAAAAAUAAGCACAUAGAAAGAAAAAAAGAAGUAAGAAAACACACUCAAACUUUUGGAAAACUGUAUGCAAAAGAAUCAAGCUCAUUAUAUGUAUCAAACUCAUCAGAGCAACACAUUUCUGAAUUACAAUCUGCCGCUGCUUUCCAUCUAGUGGUUGAAUGCAGUGCAGUCUCUCCUGACCUCUCCAUCCUUGCCGGCCUUGACCCCUAGCCUCCCCAGCCUGACCAUGGAGCUCACGAAGGCAUCGAAGAAGGCGGUCUGGUUGACGGCGAACUCCUCGACGGUGCGCCGCGACGCGCCGUCGGUGUAGAGCACCUGGUCGGAGGUGAAGAGGCCGAGGCCAUUGACGAGGUUGGAGUAGUAGACGUUGUCGAAGACGAUGGGGCUGACGGGGUCCAUGUUGACGGCGAUGGUCUUGCCGACGUCGCGCGGGCACGCCUCCAUCAGCUGCGCCGCGUAGUCCUUGUUCAUGGACGGGUCCGUCUGCUCGCCGGCGCUGUAGUUGUACAGCCGGCCGGUGAAGCGGGUGCAGUGCGCGAAGCCGACGGUGUGCGCGCCGGAGAGCGCCACCAUGUCGCGCAUCGACAGCCCGUGCUUGUCGAACACGGCGGCGAGCUUCGUCACGCGCAUGUCCGGCCCGGGCAGCUUGCCGUCGACGUCGCUCGCCUUGGACACGAGGCCGUCCAGCCGGCCGAGCUCCACGGACCACCAUGGCCCGGACGCCUGUGGUUGAUGGUGGCCAUUGUCAGUAUACUUGUAAGGGAUCAGGAUCCUCUCUAGUCACUGCAUCGUGUCUUUAUCACUGACAUGUAGGCCCGAUGUGUCGUCGGCUCACAUGUCAAUGACAAAGGCACGGUGAAGUCGACUGCAGAGGAUCAUGUACUAUGGCGAUUGUCAGAGUGAGAGCUUCUGGAAGUGAUUUGAGGUGCAGAGGCUUACGAGGGAGACGACGUCUCUGGCAGCGAGGGCGAGGAUGUCGGCGCAGGAGACCACGCCGGGGCAGGCCUUCUCGACGGCGGUCUUGACACGGUUCACGGUGUCGAAGCCGUCGCCGGCGAGGGACAUGUUGUCCGGCGCGUCCUUCUCGGCGUCGUCAUUUGGGGACGAAAUCAAGGCCGAAGCGUCACACCCCUAUGAAUUGAUUGCUGGUUCUGAAGAUUCUGAAGAGCAAAGUGGGAGAGGAGAAUGAGAUGGAUGGAUCCGACACGGCCGCAAUUUGAUAAUGCGCGUCACUGAUGAAAAGUCGCGUCGUCACAUGCAUCGCUGCCGCAACCGACGACCACGCGAGCGAGAUAUCUGAACACCUCUCAGUAAAAAGAAAAUCAUUUGAGAGAGAAUGGCCAAUGGGGAGGAAGAUUGGGGUACAGCCACAGGGCUCCAAAGCUGCCACUGGAAAAGCAUAGCAGCGGCAAGUUGCAGCCUUGCACCGUUGGAAAUGGAGUGGCUUCUGGAUUAAGAGAGGACAGGAAAAUGAUUCCAAAGCUCCAGCAAGUUGAACAGGAUGAUGAACUGAUCGAACUCACCGUGACGAGGCAGUCGUGGAAGAAGAGCCUGAGGACGGCCGGGAUGGUGACGACCGUCUCGUUGAUCUUCCUCGACACCUCAUACCGCACGAUGGACUCCAGCUUGGGGCACGACGAGCUGUAGUACCCCGCCGACAAGUCCGCCGCCACGCCGGGGAACGCCGGCAUUACGGCGAGCAUUGCCACCGCCGCCAUCACGACGGCGGCGCACGGGCUUCUUCUCCUUCUCUCCAUGGCCGACGAUGAGAACAUGAGAGGGGGAAGAAGAAGAAGAAGAAGAAGAAGGGAGCAACACGGAGGGAGAGGAGACAGCACAAGGGAUGGUUUAGCCAGCUAUAAGUAAUACUAGCAGUGGUGUGAGAGGUGAGAUGCUAAUAAGUUUCUUUCUUUCUUUUUUUGUAAUGAUUGGGUUAGUGGUGGAGAUUUUGGCUUGAGAUGGAUUAGUAGUUGUUGCUGAUACAAAAGGUGGUAUUUGCAUAUUUGGUGUGUAUAAAAGAGGGGGAGAGGUAGGGCAGAAAAGGUGAUGCCUUCGAAUGCACAAUAAGGGCAAACGAUACGAAAAGCAUAAAACUAUGUAAGCUUCUUAAUUAAAUCUGGAAAGCAUUUGUAA